rnacentral:rRNA from 1 species
UACGAAGGGGGCUAGCGUUGCUCGGAAUCACUGGGCGUAAAGCGCACGUAGGCGGUCUCUUAAGUCAGGGGUGAAAUCCUGGAGCUCAACUCCAGAACUGCCUUUGAUACUGGGAGUCUUGAGUUCGGGAGAGGUGAGUGGAACUGCGAGUGUAGAGGUGAAAUUCGUAGAUAUUCGCAAGAACACCAGUGGCGAAGGCGGCUCACUGGCCCGAUACUGACGCUGAGGUGCGAAAGCGUGGGGAGCAAACAGG